CCCUGGCUCAGGACGAACGCAGGCGGCGUGCCUAAUACAUGCAAGUCGAGCGGAAUGAUGAAGAAGCUUGCUUCUUCUGAUUUUAGCGGCGGACGGGUGAGUAACACGUGGGCAACCUACCUUGUAGAUUGGGAUAACUCCGGGAAACCGGGGCUAAUACCAAAUAAUCCAUUUUGCUUCAUGGCGAAAUGUUGAAAGGCGGCUUCGGCUGUCACUACGAGAUGGGCCCGCGGCGCAUUAGCUAGUUGGUAGGGUAACGGCCUACCAAGGCGACGAUGCGUAGCCGACCUGAGAGGGUGAUCGGCCACACUGGGACUGAGACACGGCCCAGACUCCUACGGGAGGCAGCAGUAGGGAAUCUUCCACAAUGGACGAAAGUCUGAUGGAGCAACGCCGCGUGAGUGAAGAAGGUUUUCGGAUCGUAAAACUCUGUUGUAAGGGAAGAACACGUACGAGAGUAACUGCUCGUACCUUGACGGUACCUUAUUAGAAAGCCACGGCUAACUA
rnacentral:rRNA from 1 species